rnacentral:tRNA from 1 species
GCCUUCGUGGUGUAGUGGUCAGCACAGUCGACGCGUAACUGACAGGUCCACGGUUCGAUUCUCGGCGAAGGCG